GACGAACGCUGGCGGCGUGCCUAAUACAUGCAAGUUGAGCGCUGAAGGUUGGUACUUGUACCAACUGGAUGAGCAGCGAACGGGUGAGUAACGCGUGGGGAAUCUGCCUUUGAGCGGGGGACAACAUUUGGAAACGAAUGCUAAUACCGCAUAAAAACUUUAAACACAAGUUUUAAGUUUGAAAGAUGCAAUUGCAUCACUCAAAGAUGAUCCCGCGUUGUAUUAGCUAGUUGGUGAGGUAAAGGCUCACCAAGGCGAUGAUACAUAGCCGACCUGGGAGGGUGAUCGGCCACAUUGGGACUGAGACACGGCCCAAACUCCUACGGGAGGCAGCAGUAGGGAAUCUUCGGCAAUGGACGAAAGUCUGACCGAGCAACGCCGCGUGAGUGAAGAAGGUUUUCGGAUCGUAAAACUCUGUUGGUAGAGAAGAGCGUUGGUGAGAGUGGAAAGCUCAUCAAGUGACGGUAACUACACAGAAAGGGACGGCUAACUACGUG
rnacentral:rRNA from 1 species